AAAAGUGAUUGCUGAGAUUUGAGGCCAGCCUGGGCAAUUUGGAAGAACACCUGGCAUGCAUAAGACCUUUCAGCAAGAAAGCAGGGAUACUUCUGUCUUCCACUGGUGGCCUACAAGU
rnacentral:snoRNA from 1 species